rnacentral:rRNA from 1 species
GACGAACGCUGGCGGCGUGCCUAACACAUGCAAGUCGAGCGAGUGAAUCUCCUUCGGGAGUGAAACUAGCGGCGGACGGGUGAGUAACACGUGGGCAACCUGCCUCAUAGAGGGGAAUAGCCUUUCGAAAGGAAGAUUAAUACCGCAUAAGAUUGUAGCUUCGCAUGAAGUAGCAAUUAAAGGAGCAAUCCGCUAUGAGAUGGGCCCGCGGCGCAUUAGCUAGUUGGUGAGGUAACGGCUCACCAAGGCGACGAUGCGUAGCCGACCUGAGAGGGUGAUCGGCCACAUUGGGACUGAGACACGGCCCAGACUCCUACGGGAGGCAGCAGUGGGGAACAUUGCACAAUGGGGGAAACCCUGAUGCAGCAACGCCGCGUGAGUGAUGACGGCCUUCGGGUUGUAAAACUCUGUCUUCAGGGACGAUAAUGACGGUACCUGAGGAGGAAGCCACGGCUAACUACGUGCCAGCCGCCGCCGUAAAAC